CAGCUCCNANAGNGUAUGUUAAAGUUGUUGCAGUUANAAAGCUCGUAGUUGGAUCUAGGGACGCGCAUUUCAAGCGCCCGUGCCGUCGGGUCAAACCGGCGGCUGCGUUGGCGUUGCGGGCUCGGUCCGUCGGUGCCCCACAAAGGGCUAUCGGCGUGUCAACCGGCCCGCCCGUCCCCUCCUUCUGGAUUCCCGUUCCUGCUAUUGAGUUAGUGGGGACGUCACAGGGGGCUCAUCGUCGUCGUGCAAACGGCGGCGGUGGGUCCCUGGGGCCCAGAUCGUUUACCGUGAAAAAAUUAGAGUGUUCAAAGCAGGCAGAUCCAAUUUUCUGCCACCGAAUACAUUAGCAUGGGAUAAUGGAAUAGGACCCUGUCCUCCUAUUUUCAGUUGGUUUUGGCAGCGCGAGGACUAGGGUAAUGAUUAAUAGGGAUAGUUGGGGGCAUUAAUAUUUAAUUGUCAGAGGUGAAAUUCUUGGAUUUAUGAAAGAUUAACUUCUGCGAAAGCAUCUGCCAAGGAUGUUUUCAUUAAUCAAGAACGAAAGUUAGGGGAUCGAAGACGAUCAGAUACCGUCGUAGUCUUAACCAUAAACGAUGCCGACCAGCGAUUAGGAGACGUUGAAUACAAAACACCACCAUCGGUGCGGUCGUCCUUGGCGUCGGUUUCGGCCGGCGCGGGGGUGGCUUAGCCCGGUGGCACCGGUGAA
rnacentral:rRNA from 1 species